rnacentral:rRNA from 1 species
AUUGAACGCUGGCGGCAGGCCUAACACAUGCAAGUAGAGCGGAGCGGCGGACGGGGGAGUAAUACCUAGGAAUCUGCCUGGUCGUGGGGGAGAACGUUCGGAAACGGACGAUAAUACCGCAUACUCUCAGAUGAACCUAGGUCGGAUUAGCUAGGUGGUGAGGUAAUGGCUCACCAAGGCUACCAUCCGUAACUGGUCUGAGAGGAUGAUCAUUCACACUGGAACUGAGACACGGUCCAGACUCCUACGGGAGGCAGCAGUGGGGAAUAUUGGACAAGGGGCGAAAGCCUGAUCCAGCCAUGCCGCGUGUGUGAAGAAGGUCUUCGGAUUGUAAAGCACUUUAAGUUGGGAGGCGUUACCGACAGAAUAAGCACCGGCUAACUCUGUGCCAGCAGCCGCGGUAAUUC